rnacentral:rRNA from 1 species
UACGAAGGGGGCCAGCGUUGCUCGGAAUCACUGGGCGUAAAGGGUGCGUAGGCGGGUCUUUAAGUCAGGGGUGAAAUCCUGGAGCUCAACUCCAGAACUGCCUUUGAUACUGAAGAUCUUGAGUGCGGGAGAGGUGAGUGGAACUGCGAGUGUAGAGGUGAAAUUCGUAGAUAUUCGCAAGAACACCAGUGGCGAAGGCGGCUCGCUGGCCCGAUACUGACGCUGAGGCACGAAAGCGUGGGGAGCAAACAGG